rnacentral:rRNA from 1 species
CGACCUCGGGCUGUACGU